AGUGCCGUGCCUUACAUCAACGAUUGAGCUUAGCAGAGAAGUCAAAGCAGAAAGUUCAAGCAGAACUGCAAAAGGCAAAUCAAAUGAUCCUGCAAUUACAGGGAGAAUUAUCAACAACAUCUCGUAGCUAUGACGACCAACUAAAAAUGAUGAGUGAUCAUCUGUGCAGCUUGAAUGAAAAGCUGACAUCUCAGAAGGAUGAAAUUGAUUCGCUCAAGCUCUCAGCGAAGCAGACUGCAAAGAAAGGAAGAGGAAAAUGAGGCCAGAGUCAUUAUCAUGAGCAGCAACCUGGUCCAGGGACAACCUGGUCCCUAGGCAACCUGGUUACUAGGAAACCAGGUCCCUUGGUAACUAACCAUUCUAAUGAUGCAUUUCUGGUUAAUUUACUAUUAAUUUCUUCAGUGUAAUAUUACUCAAGAGCUGUGGCGUUAAUGUCAACUUUAUUUUAGAUAAUUAAUUUGCUUGAACUAUAAAGUUAAUUCAAACAACAAGAUCAACUUUCAUUUCAUAUAUAUGGCACCAGUUUGUCUAAAUGAUGUGCAUGAUAUUAAUGGGGAACUGAAAGCAUUUAAUAUUUCUAAACAUACCCAAGUUAAUUGCAAAAUUCAGAUAAGAUCUGAUGGCUUACAGUAUAUGCAAUUGUAUUUGACGAAGACUUACUAUAUAUUUUCAUUAUCAUAGUAUAUAUAUAUAUAUAUUGAUUUCAAAAUUAGGUUAAAUUUUACUAAAUUUUGUAACUUUCAAAAAAGCAUUUCAUCUUUUGACCUUAUGUUGAGUAAAUGUUACAGCGUUGAAAUCUGAGACAGUUGGUAGAUUGUUCCCCCUCCCACAAAUACUUGCAUACCAUGUUCCUGAUGAUCCACACAGUGUAAUAUUAAAUGUAUAGGCCUAUGAGCCAAUCAGAAUGUGGGAGGGGGUGGUUUGAAGGGGGAUGUGUGCUACUGUCGUUGUCUUUUUUCACAAAUGCAAUAGUUGAUGCCAUUUUAUUUGGACAUGAGUUUAUGUGUAGUUACGAUGUGUUAGAAACCUGUAUGAAACACGAUCCAGAAAUUGAGGCUAAUAUGGCCAUAUUUAGAUGGAAUAGCAAAAGUAACUUUUAAAAUAUGGUGUUGUAAGCACCAAAUAUUUAUAUUUUAAAGGAAGUAUAAAAAAAGGUACUAAAAUUAUCAUUAUUAUUUUUUUUAGUAACAUUGUUUCACUUUUAUUAUGAUUACGAUUAUACUAGUAUACAGUUUUCAAAUACAGUAAAACCCCUAUUAAGGGGACAUGUUUUAAACCAAAAAAGUUUACCCUGAAUAGGGGUUGGACGUAGUGUUGAAAGAUAUACAUUUCUUUGUUUCGUGGCUGGAAAAAAGUGUCUCCUAAUAGAGUUGUCCCUUUAAUAGGGUGCCCCAGUGGAUGGGUUUUAUGUAUAUUAUGUUCUCUUGUUCUAUAUUAUUGUUAUUGUUGAAUGGUAUUCAUUUUCAUUAUCUUUACUAUUACUUGUUCUAUCAUUAUUGCUAUUAUCUUUAUUACUGGAACUGUUUAUUAUUAUUAUUAUUAUUAAACAAGAUAUUCAUCAUUGUACAUAGUGCAUUUAACUAUCCUAUACUUGUCCUCUCAGCCGUGGGCCUGGGUGUGUAUAAUACAGUCCUUACUAACUAAUUCCUGUAGCCUACGGUGGCUCCAGAAAUCUGCAGACAGGGAAUUCAACUAGUCCUACUGGAUUCUAAAUAGUGGCGGCACCAGAGGAGGUCAGCAGGGGUCUAAGCCCCCCCCCCCCAUUGGACAGGACAAGAUCCCUACUCCACUGGCCAGAAUUCAUCGGGCAGGCGGACCAAAAAAAAAAUGGUCUAAUGAAAUGAAAUCGUGUUUAUUGUAUUGAGUUUGAGUAUAUACAGUAGUAACAAUUUUAUUUUAUCAACUUUACAUUUAAAAGUAUUUUUUAACUCAUUAGGGAGGGGGGAGACAACACUCCAAAACCCUCAAUCCUAGAACCACCACUUAUGCCAAAUCAAGGGGCUGCACAACACUUCCAGUAACUGUCCCAGUGUAAAACCCUUGUUAAGGGGGAAGGGGAAGGGUAAAAAUUGUGCUUUAGACCAUAGGAAAAGGAGAAUGACUUUAGGCCAUAGAUGAUGCCUGUCUGAUAGCUAGUAGUGCCAGGCCAUAGAUGAUGCCUGUCUGAUAGCUAGUAGUGCCACUGCUGUAGGUGAUUUUUAAUUCAGCUAAUAAGUGUACAGUAUUAGGUUUUAGACUUCAAUCUUUGCCCUUCUGAAUACCGGUAUGUAUCUGAAUUACAGUACUCUUAGCAAAACUCCUGACCACCUUAUAAAAACACUACUGUAUGAACAAGACCAGACUUCUCUGCUCUCUCAAAACGAUUUAUAUGUUUACCACCAAUGAACUAUUGUAAACCAUCACAUGUCACAUCAGACAAUGAGCCUUUCUUCAAUGAUUUCCGUUGACCAAUAUAAGACUGUCAAUUUAGUUUUGUUUUCUCAGGGAAUCGAAACUUGGAAGAUGUAGAAUGGGUCAUAAAGAUAGUUGAAUAUUAGGUGCCCCACUUUCAUUUUCUUUCUACUUUUAUCAUUUGUUAAUUGCCACAGAUAUGUUUUUUGACUUCUAAAGUUAUUAUUUCUUAGACUUGAUAAGCUAAAAAUCCCAUUAAAAUCAUUGAAUUAAGUAACAAUGAAAUGAUGUAUUGAAAGUUUUUUUUUUUUUUUAUACGUGAACCAGACGAACUUUUUUCAACAUAAUAGAAAGUUAUGUUUUCUGGUUGGUUUGUUGGUUGUAAUGUUUUUACAUUUUGGUGGGUGUCUACCUACCCUAUUUUUAUUAUGCAAAUUGUAUUUAGCAGUUCUGGUGGUCUGUCGUGAUUAUUGGCUUAAUCUGCUAUCUAAUACUGUUCUAACUUAGACUACUUGCACCAAAGGGAGUCUAUAUUUUCAGCCAUCAAAACGUACCUUUCUGAAUAAUUGCUCUCUAUUGGUCAUACCCUGCAGAUGCCGCAUAUAUUCAAUUAAAUGUUUAAAAUGGAAUACAGUUCUCUAAUUGCUGUAAUGCGGGCCUAAUGGUGAUGAAGAAGACCAUAUAAUAUGUUACUGCAGCCAUGCCUCCGUCCCUUUCCCUAAGACUUCCCUCUUCUCUAAAGCCUCUUCCAUGUUCAAAAUUAUGGAUCUCUCUAGUUGCUAUAACAUUCAUCUCAUCUAUAGCCUGCUUGCAUCCCACUGCUGGGCAAAAGCCUCUCCCAAAUAACAUUACAUCGGUUAAUCUAGCAUGUUUCUUCUGUCAGGGUAGGAAAUGUUUUCGUAUCUUAAAUACAAGCAAACUUAGUGUGUUUUCGGACCUGCAAAUGGUGAAAGAUUGCUUGCCAAAGUUUGAGGGUAAUAAAUUAGUUGACUAUAAGUAGUGCAUCAGAUGACGUUACUAGGUUAAUGGAGCAAUACACAAUUCAUAUCUAGCAAGGCUAGCAAUUUAUUUUUGUUAAAUAAACUUUAAAUAGUUCAUAACAUAUUUUAAUUAAGUUUUUUAAUUUACUGCGGAGAUGACAGCGUGUUUCCUGGCGUUCCGUGACAAUGAUCUGAAUAUUGUGAACUUAAAGCCUUCAUUCUAGACCUGUGAUGAUGGUUGCCAUGGCAGCAGUCAUAAUUCUUCAAGUAUGAGGUUUGGCACCAUAAAGUUCAUGAUAUUGAUUUCUUGUUUUUAAACUCUAAAGUACAUGAAGGCUUAGCAUUUGGCAUUGAAGUAUUGAAGUUGAAAUUCUCCAUAUAACACAGAUGUGUUCUAUAUAGUACAAUCGACACAGCAUCAAGGGUAUAAUUAUAUCUGUAUUCUAAAAUGUUUAAAUUAGCAACAUUUAUAAGAGCUAUAUUUUUGAAAACAUCAACUUGAGUAUAAAUCGCAAUAUCAUUCAUUGUAAUUUUUAAUUUCAAUAUUUUAGGAUUUCCUUAUUAUUACUGUAUUUUUAAGGUUUUAAUAUUAGUUAUUUGUCCGUUCCAAGGCAAAGCAAUGUAACUUCAAAAAUAUAAAAGCAGUUAUGUGUGUUUUGUUGGACGCAUUUACAUUAGACAUUUAUCUAGAAUGUUACUACUAUAAUUAUAUUUAUUUACAAACAGUGGAGGAACCAAGGCAAAAGGAGUGCUCACACCCUGGCAGCAACCAGAAAAUCAAGUGUUAUCAUUUAAUAGAUAAGAGAUUAAAACUCCAAAUAGCCCCUCUCCCAGGGGCACCAAACUUUCCUUUAUUGAUGCUAUUUGUGGAACCUUGGCGACAAUAACAAAGGGGCAGUCUUAACAGAAGUGUCCAUUGUAAGGACAAGAAGCCACUGUGAAUUAAUAUUCAUUAUAUAAUAAUAUUAUUGUGAUCUAAUAAUCUUGAUAUCAUUAAGAGAAAAUGAGAUACUGAGAAGCCAGUCAUUUGAAAUUAUACAUAAUGUACUUAAUUUUGAUGAGUACUGAAGAUUAGGUAAUAAUGCACCCUUAAAAUGCAAAGCAAGUUACAUGAAGAUUAUUGGUGCAAAUUUUUAAAAAUCCAUGUUUCUUAUACCAAGAUAGUACUUGUGUGGCAAGUCGAGUCGAGUAAGGUAUGGGCGCUGCUAACUACAGCCUUUACAUUAGCGAGUCUUCUCGGAAAAAGGGCCCAAGAUGGAGGUCCAGUCUACACAUUUGUGUGUACUUUAAAGAACCCAUGCAUCUUUUGGGCCUAUGGUUUAUAGUUCUCAUACGAGAAGACCGAGAUUCAAACUACACCAAAAUUUAGGCUGCAGGUAGCAGUACCCCUUUCAUACCCUCCAAACACACAGCACCGAGUGAAACUUGAAGACAGUCUCUAAUUCAAGUAUCAACUUAACUUUCAUCUGACAAGAACCAAUGUUUUAAUGCUGUUGACAUGAGGAUGGUUAAAUUUCUGUUGUUUUAUUGUUGCUUUUGCCUCAUGAAAGGUGGGACAAGAAACAUGGGAAUUUUUUUUUUAAUCUAUCGUGUAAAUUGCGGACCUGGUUUAACAUUGAAAUAAUGUUCCUUUGAUAACAGUGUAUUUAAAAUAAAGUUCAGAAGCAAUUUA